AGGAAUAUUGGUCAAUGGGCGAGAGCCUGAACCAGCCAAGUAGCGUGCAGGAUGACGGCCCUAUGGGUUGUAAACUGCUUUUAUAAGGGAAUAAAGUGAGUCUCGUGAGACUUUUUUGCAUGUACCUUAUGAAUAAGGACCGGCUAAUUCCGUGCCAGCAGCCGCGGUAAUACGGAAGGUCCGGGCGUUAUCCGGAUUUAUUGGGUUUAAAGGGAGCGUAGGCCGGAGAUUAAGCGUGUUGUGAAAUGUAGGCGCUCAACGUCUGCACUGCAGCGCGAACUGGUUUCCUUGAGUACGCACAAAGUGGGCGGAAUGUGUGGUGUAGCGGUGAAAUGCAUAGAUAUCACACAGAACUCCGAUUGCGAAGGCAGCUCACUGGAGCGCAACUGACGCUGAAGCUCGAAAGUGCGGGUAUCGAACAGGAUUAGAUACCCUGGUAGUCCGCACGGUAAACGAUGGAUGCCCGCUGUUGGUCUGAACAGGUCAGCGGCCAAGCGAAAGCAUUAAGCAUCCCACCUGGGGAGUACGCCGGCAACGGUGAAACUCAAAGGAAUUGACGGGGGCCCGCACAAGCGGAGGAACAUGUGGUUUAAUUCGAUGAUACGCGAGGAACCUUACCCGGGCUUGAAUUGCAGAGGAAGGAUUUGGAGACAAUGACGCCCUUCGGGGCCUCUGUGAAGGUGCUGCAUGGUUGUCGUCAGCUCGUGCCGUGAGGUGUCGGCUUAAGUGCCAUAACGAGCGCAACCCCUCUCCUUAGUUGCCAUCAGGUUAAGCUGGGCACUCUGGGGACACUGCCACCGUAAGGUGUGAGGAAGGUGGGGAUGACGUCAAAUCAGCACGGCCCUUACGUCCGGGGCUACACACGUGUUACAAUGGCAGGUACAGAGAGACGGUCCCUUGCAAAAUGGAUCAAAUCCUUAAAGCCUGUCUCAGUUCGGACUGGGGUCUGCAACCCGACCCCACGAAGCUGGAUUCGCUAGUAAUCGCGCAUCAGCCAUGGCGCGGUGAAUACGUUCCCG
rnacentral:rRNA from 1 species